rnacentral:tmRNA from 1 species
GGGGCCGAUUAGGAUUCGACGCCGGUAACGAAACUUGAGGGGCAUGCCGAGUUGGUAACAGAACUCGUAAAUAAACUGUUGCAAACCUAUAGUUGCCAACGACGAC